CUCGCCAAACAUGGCGGCAGCACAGCCUCUUCCGCCCUUUCUUCUCCCCUUCCUGUCCUCUUGCCUCUCCUCCGGUGGCACCUUCUUCCGGUACCCCUGCCCUCGCCCAACAUGGCGGCAGCACAGCUCUUCCGCCCGUUUCCAUCCCCUUCCUGUGCUCAUGCCUCUCCUCCGGUGGCACGUCCUUCCGGUACCCCGUGCCCUCGCCCAACAUGGCGGCAGCACAGCCUCUUCCGCCCUUCCGUACUAGGAGUGCAGAAAAAGGUGAAACUGCCAUGAAAAGGAGAGGAGGAGUGUGUGAGUGAGAGUGAGACAGGGAGCAUCCUAGUAGAGAUGGAAGGGGAACCCAAGGGUCAUCUAGUCCAACCCUCUGCAAAGAAGCUCAGAGCUACAAUUCCCAGGUCUUCUUUGGGAAUCCUAUGGGAAAGCAAUUGCUUUCAGCUUUGCAGAGGAGCCCGUAGUAUCCAAACUACAGUACUUCCGUGAGAGCUGUGAAGCAGAGCUCCCUCCCCUGGCUCUGCUGUGACAGGACAGCUCCCUCAGGCCUCCUCUCCCCACAACUGUUAUCUGGGGCAGCCAUCAGUGGGAGAGCUUUGCUGGAGGUCCAGCUCCUUCAGGCACCUCCAGCCCCUGAACUGUGCCAGCUGGUCAACAUAGGAACAACUGUUUAGUGAUUUGUGACUGAGAUUUGAUAUUCCUCUUCCCUCCCUGCCCCCUUUGCCUGUGGGUAGGGACCAUCUUGCUUUGAUUGCAUUUAAGUUGUCUGGUGGCCUUGUUGGCUGAACAGCGAGGCACAAAUGUUCCAAAUAAAUAAAUCUCUAUACACAGUAUAGAAAAUUAGU